AGACAAGGAAUUGUUUCUUGGUGGAUUAAGCAGGGCAAUAUGCGAUGCCAUAUGACCAUUUAAUAUAGGAAAUACUUGUAUGGAAAUAAUUAAAUUCACAAUGUUGCAUCCAACUAAAUGUUGGUUACACUCAGACCAAGUGCAUCUGCAGUAGGUGUUGAGUGGGAUAUCUGGUAAAACAAAGAUAUUUGCUUGUUAGAAGUUUAAGGCAUGCACUUGUUGGGCUAAUGUAGUUGAGAGGAGAUUGAAUGGUAUUUUCAUACAUAAGGAUGACUGAAGGUCUUGAAACAAAGGGGAACGGAUGUGUGUUGAAGGAUCAGAAAAGUGAGAAUAAGAGGUGGAGACUUGGGAGUACCUCUGUGGAGGAGUUUAAAGAAAGCUUGACUUGACAUAAUCUAUUCUCUAGGGAGAAGGGUGAAGCAUGUCAUAAUCACCCUACUAAUGUGACAAAGCUGGUGGAUUUUGUAUGUCAUGGUUUGAUAUUUUCUUCAUUAAAGUAUACAUGCUGCAAGUUUUCUCUAUAUAUCACUGCAACAUGGUACGCUGGGCUCUUGAUAUCUGACUCAUGAAAGCUUGGUACCUAUCCUUUGUCUUCGAUGCUUUUCUUUCAAAGAUGGGAUGCUCCCUUAUAUAGUUCAGUUACAGCAAUAGCUUAUAUAUUGGGGUAAGUCUUGACAGUUGUGUUUAUUGUAUAUUUUCUUCUUAUGCUGACAACUACCAUGCAGUGUACUUGAUACAAUGGCCAACUUUUGACGAACAUAAUUCUUUUAAUUAUUCUCUCAAGGUAUGCACGACAAGUCGCAGAAUUCUUCGAAUUUGUGAAGAAAAAGAAAGAAGCUUCGUCUACAGAAUCUGCUACUGACGGUAAGAACCAAACCCAACAAGUAGUGCUUCCUCCCAAAGGUGGUCUGUGGGUCCCAGAAGGCAGUCGUUUCCCAGAAUCUGCCCUAAAAUCUCUUGACUUCAGAAGAGCCAUGUCAUUCCUCUCUGGUUAGCUGCCGCUCCAGCAACCAAGCAAAAUACUCUUGCAGAUGUGCAGAAAUCCUUAAUGAGAUGAAGGAUUUUAGUAAUGUGGAAUAUGCUUCAGGUGCUAGACACGUCAUAUUGAUCCAUCUGGAGCUAAUGGAUGGAGCUAAUUUUGGCUCCAGAAAGAAACUAGGUCCAUGUUGUAAGGGUAUAACUUGUAGAAAAUCUGGUGUUUAUGUCAAUAUAACAUGUUAGGAGUUGUCUUGAUGUAAAUGAUUUGAUGUUGUAUGGUUAUGGAAGUUCAAAUGGUGGACGUAUGCUUCCAGAAUCCUAAUUUUGUUUGAGAUGGAUGACUUCAUUUGACUAGUUUCAUUUGGGUUAGCAUCGGGCAUUAAUUACACUCCCUGAUGGACAUAUUCCAGAGAAGGAAUGGAAGAAGUGUGUUCAGGAUAUUCAAGGCCGUAUGAUUGGUUGUGGUGCCUUUCACCCUUUAUCAAGGGUGGGAGUGGAUAUAAACGGAGACAAUACUAAUCAGAUUGAAUGGCGAAAGAAGAUUUAAAGCAUGCUCAUUUUUUCUCUUUGGAAUGAAAUCGCCACAGGUUAUCUAGCAAUGCCUCUGGAUCAAAAUGAAAUCGUCGCUGUGCUAAUGUUAUUCCUUUUAAGUUUUGGGAUGGAAUGACCACUGAUGACAAGGAUCAAGUUUUAAGGCUUGUUUAGAAAGGUCCAUCCUAGAACAGAUAAUUCAACUACAGAACUUUUCAGCUUGUGGGCCGGCAGCACCUGUACUAUUGAAAUGGUUUGUCGGUAGAGAUGUUCCCACUGGUGCUCCUUCCAAUGGUACUAUAAUUUCUACUUUUAGCUUGAAUUUCUUUUUUUUUGUCUAUCUACGUUCCAUAAAAAAAUGGAGUGUUGGUCAAAGCAAGCCGCCCUAUUCUAUUACCAGACAUAACUAGGAGAAGUUCGUCUGCUGGAAAUGCUUUAUUUCGUUUUGUUUUUUCAUUUUCUUCUCAUCGAAUCCAUGAGGAACUUGUCAUAUUUAUAAUCUUUUUGCAGUCUGCUAUAUUUACAAAUCUUUCGUAAUCUCUUCUCUUCACCACAUGAUGGGUUAGCAAAGCGUGAGCGGGGCGAAGGAAAGUUCAAAGAUCACUUUUGGAUGGAUGAUUGGACUAUAAAUACAAAAGAUUUUGUUCACAUACUCUACAUAUUUUUUAAGUCACGUACAAGCUGCUCUUUGCUCUCUUUUUUUGUCCCUCUUUUCCCCUGAGAAAACACACCAGCUGCUUGUUCGAACAUCAUUACUAUGUUCAGCUACUUCGAUCUUUCUUGCUAGUGUAGGUGCUGCGUCCAUCCCAGAUGAUCCAACCUCACCUCCCCUACAUUGUUCUGGAGCUGGAGGCUGCUCAAUUAAGAAUGGUGAAACGUCUCAACUUCAACAGCUUCACCUAGGAGGCCUCUCUAGUGCAAUCCAACCAAAUUUCCCUUUCCUAAAGUCACUCAAGACACGGACAGCAGCGUGACUAACAUCUCCAUUAAACAAGUGAAGGGCAAGUUUCUCGAGGAAUCUGCAAUCAAUUAUUAAUGCCAAGCUGACGACUCAACAUUUACAGGAAGCAGAAAGUGUGAAUAAAUAAAUCAUGCAGCAAAAGGGAUGCAUACAUUUUACCACAGCGACCAUCUGAAUCAAUUCUAUAGCGCUUGCAGAGAGUAUCUGAGCCUGUAGGAAACCAGCGAGUGCAAUUGGCAACUUGACAGGAUGAGAUAAAACAGUAGCAUUUUGCUUCUGGUUAAAUGAUAGAAAUGCAAACAUAAAGUUACGAAAUGUAAACAUAAAAUUACAAAAAACUAUACAACUGACUGAUCUAUUCUCAAGGAAGUAUCUCAGAGGAUCGUGUGGAUCAAUAGAAUUGCUAUAGUAUACAAGGAGGUCUCCAAAUAUUUGACAAUAACGUGUCAGAACUGUUUGAAUUGAACAAAAUAAUACGUACACAACAAGAAAGUUACUAUCAUAAUUUAUAAAUAGAAGCAUAGAUUUUAAUACUUGCAUGGAUAUUUGUUGGUAUAUGGACAACAAUAUAGAACAUGCUAGGAACAAUCCUAACUAUAUUGUAGUGCAACCCUCAUUGUCUCUCUACCAAGAGGACAUCUCUGCCUCGCACCUCCACCAUACAUGCAUAGGUGCAACAUGCUUGAUUCUUUUUAUUGACAAGGCUAGGGAGUUUUAAAUGUAGAACACAUAAGCAUUAAUGAUCAGGUUAAUCUAAAAAGCCUAAUGGACACUUAUUAUUUUAUCACCAAGAGAAGCUAAGCUCAAAACUUGUGAAACUUCAUUUCAAGUUUAUAUACAAUCAAAAGUAAUGAGCUUUUGGUGAGAUUAAGUUGCAAUUUGUAUUAAACUUGGUGCAAACUUGAAGACCCACAAGAAUUGAACCAUUGAUAGCAAAGGAAACAAAAGCUGCAGUUAGCCGGUAGUUUCCAUAGUGCAAAUCAAUCCACAACAGCAUAUGCUCUACUCCUCACAUGUUUAUAGGAUUAAUGCUUAAGAGAAGCUUAAUGACAAAAAACAGAGAAUUUCCCUAGUAUUUUGCUUUUAGAAACAAAGAUUAGAACUGAGAGUGCAGAUUAAACAUGGCAAUCACUUUGCAUCAGACUGUAGUAAAUGGGGACUAAUUAUCACAUGACUUCCUAAUGGAAACUCCACUCAGGACCUUCAUGUUGCCCUCAAGCGCAUAUGAGCAUCGAUGCCUAGCAAAUUUUGCAGCAAUAAUAAAAACCAUGACUAUACAUGAGUGAAACCAAAGCUUUGAAAGAGAUUUAUCUGAUAUUUGAGGGCAUAUUUACUUGAUGUUUCAUGUCAUCCAUUUCUGAUGGUGCAUACGAGUUUCCAGAAUACAACUAGUUUUCCCAACAUCUCUGAUGGCAUGUGUCAAAACAGGUUAUUUAGGGUCUGCCCAACUCGAUUUUUGGUAUAUGUUGAUCUUGAGGUACAGAAGGCUGUGGAAGAAUUUCUUGAUACAAAAAUAUAGAAAACUAAUGUAAUUCAAAAAACAAAGCACAGCACAUAGAAGCAACAUUUUGUGGAAAUGUUGAUGGAAGACUAAAAGUUCCAUGAAGAUAUUUUUCGUCAUCUUGGUUCUUUUAUGCAAAAAAUGGUAAGAGAUACAUGAGAACGCCCCAAAUAUGGUUAAAGUAGAGAUGCACCUGUUGAAAAUGAGAUCAUCAAAAAACUAUGAAGGCUGUACAUAGCAACAACCCCCUAAUUUCUUCCCUUCGUUCUGCCCUCCUAAAUUCUCAAUUUUGAUCCACCUCUUGGUUCAAAAGGUGUUGAUCAUAACAUCACCUCCUAGUUGGUUCAAAAGAUCAUGACGAACAAAUACAGACUAGUAAUUUAAUUGCCCUGCAAUGCAAUUUAGCACCCUAGCUUUCCUACUACUAUCAAAGUUAGUGUGACUCUGUGCACAGGCAAAUAACCUCCCGAGCAUCUGAUACUAAAUUCAGGCAAUCAGAUAUAGUGGUUCAUGAAAAGUGUGGGUUCUCAGCACAGAUGGCCUGCUAUAUACUUUGCGCACAUAGAGUUUAGAGUGAAAUUCUAAACACAGGGUUGUGUCUCUCUAUAUGCAUGCAUGUGCAGAGAGGCACUCAUGGGAUUUUGGAGAGUACUUAAAUUUUAGCUUGUUGAGUCUGAGAAACCAACCUACUGCUGGAAGCCUUGUCAACAUUUGUACAAGAAUGGCAGCCACAUCAGCAGCAUCGUAUGAUCUCUCCCCAAUGUCAUCACAUAUUGCAAGCUUGAUUGCAGCUGCCUGGUCCCUAAUUCGCAUUGGUAAUAUGCCGGGGGAGUCCAAGAACUCUAAAUCUUUCCCAAAACGGACCCAUCUGUUCAAAGAUACGUGAGAGCAAUAGUACUGAAUCAAAAGCUUACAAUUUAUUUUCCAUGCAGUUAAACAUGAAAGAUUUACAAAGGAACAUAGAGGAAAUUGGUUUAUACAUAGUGAAAUGAUAAUAAUGCCUACUUCUCUAAGAGAGAAAAGAACAAGGUUCUAAGAGGAACUUACUUCAGUUGUCUUGUGACACCUGGCCUGGGAGCUGCUGGACACAUUCGCCGCCUCAAUAAACGGUUAAUUAGAGAAGAUUUUCCUACAUUUGGAUAUCCAACUAUUCCAGCUCGGACCUGUAACAGAAUAGAAAAAUAAAAUAUGGAUAAUAGAAUUGAAAAAGCAACUGCAAUUCUAAAAUUUAUGAUGAAACUGACACGGUUUCAAUGAAUACAUUAUUAAUGAGACAUUUUAUGGAACUGGACCUGUAGCAGAAUUAAGAAAACAUUCACAUAAUUGCAGUCAAGAACAUAUUGUCCAUUCCUGAAUUGAAAGACAAAAAAAUAGGCAAAAUCUCUGACAAUUGCCAUGAAUAUAUCAUUAAUGCAUUCACAAAGGGGCAAAAAACACCAAGAAUUAUUUUGGAUAGUUGAGGUGUAAUAGAAUAUUACAAAUCUGAACUAUUGCUUUUUGAAUGCUGAUAUAAGGUGUUAUUUAGAGCAAAUUGAGUGGGUUGGAUGAAAAUAUUAUUUGGCAUGCUGGAAAAGAAAAAGGGGCAGCAUUGCUCAUAGGGUUUUUUAUGGUAAGAAGAAUGAUGUGCCGGAAAACUGCAACAUGUAUAACAACUACUCCAAAAAAUUCAUCAUCAGAUCCUCUCCAGUAUAUAAUAAAGACAAAAUAAGGUUAUAGGAACAUUAAAAUCUUGCAAAAUGUCAUUGAUGACAGGCAACUGCUUUAAUAGAUAGCUUACUGGGUUAUCUAGAUGGCCCGCCCAUGCACCCGCCUUAACAUCUUGUAUUAUGUUUGAGUAUAAAAGGUGAGAGCAAUUUAUAGAUUUGCCAAGUUGAUACUUACAAUUGAUUUACUAAAUCUUAUUUAAGAUGUUAUAUUUCAUUUGUUGGAUGACAAGAAUUUUUUAGGUUUCUCCACCUGUUUGUAGCUUGCAGGCGCUUUUAAAACAGUGUUGACUGAUAAUUGAAGUGUCGAAUGACAAAAAAAAAAAACAUUCCAGACUUUGACUCCUGAUCUUCACUGGUUGUUGCCCAAAAAAACACAACAGACUAAUAUGAUAAUAGACAGAUUGUUAUCUAAAUACAGAUUUCGAUAUAGACUUGUGAUGCUGACAAAGUUUUAUAGCUGGUAGAAGCAACUAUAGGCAUCUCAACCUUACCAAUCUUUGAUCCCAAAGAUCUUCUUCCUUGGUGAAAUAAAGAGAGUGGUGAAUAACAUUCCCCUUGAAACUAUCAAUGAAAUAGUUGAAUGAGGAGGCUUCAUCCUCAAAAGAAAGCCAUAUCCGCUCUCUCCACAGGGAACACAUCACAAUAUGUGAUAUCAUAUUUCAAAAAUAAUUAACCAUAACCCCUUGCCACACAACAAAGUAAUCAACAAUAUUGUUUGAGAAGUUUCAAAAGACUUCUAAUCAAGGUACGCAUACCGAGCCCCAUACCAUUGCCACCCUAUUACUUAUCGAUAUGCCUAGUACAAGGGCCAGUUUGGCGUACCAAGUGUUGGUACACCUCCCAUACUGCGUACCAGUAUGGAACCGGUAAAGUAUGAUAAUUUUUUCAUUUUAUGAGAUCACAAUUAUGAUAAUGAUUACUUAAUAAUUUUUUCAUUACAUUGUCCAAUAAAGAGAAUCUCACUAAGUGAAGCCAAACGACACAAAAAAUAAUUAAAAAAAGAAACAAAGAAGAAAGAAAUAAGACAAAAGGAAAAGUAGUCAUGCAGGGGAAGGUGAGGAACCAUAUCCUCCAUCUCAUCAUCAAAGGCAAAAAUUAAAUAUUUAACUAAAAANNNNNNNNNNNNNNNNNNNNNNNNNNNNNNNNNNNNNNNNNNNNNNNNNNNNNNNNNNNNNNNNNNNNNNNNNNNNNNNNNNNNNNNNNNNNNNNNNNNNNNNNNNNNNNNNNNNNNNNNNNNNNNNNNNNNNNNNNNNNNNNNNNNNNNNNNNNNNNNNNNNNNNNNNNNNNNNNNNNNNNNNNNNNNNNNNNNNNNNNNNNNNNNNNNNNNNNNNNNNNNNNNNNNNNNNNNNNNNNNNNNNNNNNNNNNNNNNNNNNNNNNNNNNNNNNNNNNNNNNNNNNNNNNNNNNNNNNNNNNNNNNNNNNNNNNNNNNNNNNNNNNNNNNNNNNNNNNNNNNNNNNNNNNUCCAGAGCAUAGUCAUCCACUACUCCCAACUAAAGGAAUAUAAGCAUUAUAGGAAGUCUUCAAGCUAGACACUCGCACCCUUGCAAUUCCAUAAUAUUUCUCAUUAGCCUUACCAACAUCUCAACCAUUUAUCAUCGUAAAGAACUCAACAAUCAAUGGUUAAAAUUAUAUUCCCUUGUAAUUCCAUAAUAUUUCUUAUUAGCCCUACCAAACAUCUCUACCAUUUAUCAUGGUAAAGAAUUCAACAAUCAGUGGUUAAAAUUAUAUACUAAAAAGAAAGUGACUUUCUGUAAGAUAUUUCUACUUAGCUUAUAAAUUGCAUAUCCAAUCCAUACUUCAAUCCACAUUGUUGUCGUCAUAACAUUUCCUCGUCACCCUCCAUCUUAGAACACCAUGAUGCACUUGACAUGACAAGGGCUCUUCAAACACAACUGCCAACACUCCCAUGACAACCCGCAAGACGUAAUCGCUUUCAUGAAUUUCGAACUGUAUAUAAUUAUAGUUUACAAAUCAUAAAAAGUUGAUCUAUGUAAUCACAUAUGUUACGAAUUCAACUAGUAUGAUUGUUACAUGUAAGGGGUUAUAGCUUAUUAUAAUUGUACAUAUUAGUAAUAGACCUAUUAGUUAAGUAUAUCGACCAAAACUUUCAACAUUUUCUCCUAUAUAAACAUGAAUUUCAGAGUCUGGAAUCAUCUUCACGAGUCCUUUCUGAUAGUUUUGGUGUGCAAUCCAUGUGAGCACACAAUGGUUGCUCUCAAAGUUAAGGACCCUUGCAAUAGUCACAGCUAAAAACUCUGACAUGUUCUUUUGCAUGCCUGUGUUGGGAUGUCUAGGUGACAGGAACAUCUGGUCGUAUUGUCUUGAUAAUUGACAAGACGAAAUGGAGUAUCCAAGGAGUGGAUUGCCGGUGUUCUCUUUGGGUUUCUUGGUUCAAAUGGCAAGUUUUGGGACUUUUUUUUAUGUUUUAAACUGUACCUCGUGGUAUUCUUUUUAUUUUUCUCUAGGUUUUGCUUUUCAACAUCAUUCAUGGUAUAAGAACACUAAUUCAAAUGCACAAGCAUGCCCCACAUGCACAUGUAGCCAUUCAAGAACACAUGUUCUGCUUGAAGAAAAUUGGAAGAAUGAAGAAAUAUAGGAAAAGAUGUCCAAUGAAGAUUCAGAAAAUUCAUUACAGGACGAGGUAGGAGUCCCUUAGCUCUACGUUUCGUAUUCACGCCCGUGGCUAAUAACUUUGCAAGCCUUCCAAGUUUCAUAGUACCCUGCAAUGGCACCAAAUAUCUAACAUAUGACUGUGAAACCCCUAACAACCUACCAUAAGUUGGUCAAGUAUUUGGGUUUGGGAGAUACCAUUCCAAGCUGCCCAUUAGCAAAAACAACUUUUAUGCCCUGCCUUGUGAAGAAAUUAGCCCAUGAAUUUCUGUCAGCAGUGGAUAUCAUGUCUUCCCUAUUUAGAACUAGAAUUUUUUUCCGAUUGCCAAGCCAGGAAUCCAUCUGCUCAGACAAAACACCUUUAGGAAUUAUUUCUUCAAGUUUGCUUUUCAUGAAGCAAAUAUUAGAGCAUCACCUGUGGAUGGCUGGUAGCCAUAGGAAUCCUGGCAUCACGAACUUCUAUGACAACAUCCAUUAACUUUAGUUGUUCUUUCAACUCUUUUUCUGCUUUUGCAAUAUGACCAGGAUACCACUGCAGGAUGCCAAAGUUCAAAGUUACGAAGAUUGAAUGCUUAGCAAUUGCAGAAUAUUACAACAUUCAAUUCCAAGCCAUAAUUAGCUAUUGAAUUUCAUGCUGCAAAAUAUCCCAUCACAGAUCACUUCUGCAAAUCCACACCUCAUAUGUACCUGCACAGGACGUAAUGACCUUGUCCAGUGAUACACAUCAGCAUCCAAACUUUCCCAAUCACCUUCUUCAUGGAAGCUCUCAUUCACAUAUUUAGAAAGGUUGAUUUUCUCUUUCUGGGGCCAAUGUAGUGAUGUUCCACCAGCAAUCUGCAACAUUUCUUUUUAAAAUUCCUAGCAUUUUAUCCAAUAUGCAUGUACUAUGAAUAAAACUAACAAGCUUUGUACCAUUUAGCAAUCUUUCCAAGAUUACAAGAACUAAAUCCCAUGUAAAUAUUGUUUGUUGAGAAUGAAAUCUGAAAAUAAUGGCAAUUAACAGCUGAAUUUUGCUGUGCAAAGGUAAGUCGGCAAUUCAAGGCCAGAAUUAAUGUAUGAAAGAUCUGAACUGAAAAUUGAGAAUAAACCCUAUCACUUAAUAAAAUAUUUUCAAAUAUACAGUCGCCAUGAGAAACAAACCUCAUAACUUCGAUAAGAGGUUGGUUUUGAGGCAUGUACUCAGCAAUUGGUGAUUAUAAAUGGAGAAAUCCUCCAAAUGAAAAGCAUGAAAGGAACUAUGACAAAAUGCUUGAACCAUUCUCAGCAAAGAGAAUGAGGGUAAGGUACUAAUGUGAGCACAAAGUGCCAGGGGGUUAAGGAAUCACCCUCAGGAUUUUCUGCAAUCCAACAUGAGAAAAUCAUUUUGCUUCAAAUCAAAAGCAAAUGCAUCAUUCUUUUGUAUUUAAGGUUUCUCUUGUAUAUAAAGCCAUAUAACAACUCCUAAACCAGAAAGAAUACUUAUCAGACACUUCCCAACCAAAAUCGUACGAAGUAGGAUUCUUAGUUCAACCUGAAAACUAGUAAAAAAUUUUAUCAAUUUGACUGAGAUUCCUUUCUAAUCUGAUACUGAAAAUUAAGGCCUACAUUUUGGCGUCAUAAUGACCGAUUUACUGAAAAUUGAAACAUAAAAUUAUCAGACCACAAGGUCAGUUCUAAAACAAUUCCUUACAUGCCUCAAACAUGCAUGUAUAGCUCAAGUCAUGCCUCCAAAAAUAUAGCAGACUUUGAGCUGGAAAUCACCCAUGUGCACUGAUAUCUUAUAACUAGUUGGUUCCUGAUUUGCAUUAGGCAGAAAACAGCCUUUCUCUAUCUUUAGCACACUUAAAUAUGCCCAUGCACAGCGCAUUUUUCAGUAAUGCAAACUUAUUACAGAAAGCAACAUCAAAUAAAAUUAAAAGCUAAUCUGACUUGGAUCAUAUUCAGAAAACAUUUAGUUCUGAAUCAUAUAUUCAUGUUCUUUAAUAACAUAAAGAAACCAAACUGCUUUAACAAUUUAAGCAAGCCUACAAGCAACUAAAUGAACAAAAUCACCGGCUGACACUUAUUACCAGCACCAUUUGCAUUUGUCAGCAUUGCUGAGCCAUAAAGCAGCGGUCUUUGAAAACACUAGUCAAUUGCGUACAUGAGAGGCUUGGGACUUCAAGGUAUAGAAAUCUUCUGAUCAUUUAACCGGCAAGUUGAUUGCUUUCUGUAAUAACUCAUAUUCCUAUUAAUCAAAUGCAAUCCCACGACCUCCUGAUUGUAGAUAAUAAUUAACAAUUCCUUGUUGAAUAGAUAAAUAAAAUGGUUUUGAAUGACCAUUCCUGUACCAAUACUAAGCACCAGUCCUCCGUCAAUUACGUUUAUGCUUUCCGCUAGAGCAAGAACAAGGUCUAGCAAAAGCAUUUGAAUAGAAGCAUAGAAGUAGCUCGCAAAAAUAACCAAAAGAACAAGGAAGAAGAACUUAUAAGACGAAGGGGUUUCAAGAAUGGGAGAGAUGUCGAAAGACGAAGCAAAAGAAACCCUAGAAAUCUGGGUGGUCACUCACCGCGUUUGAGACAGAGAGUCUGGGAGCCACCGAACGGAGGGACAGGGUCCUGAAGCGCCGAGUUGGGGAGAGGGAGGGCCGAGGGUGGGGCAAAGGGGCUAAAGACGCCAUGGGAGAUCUUACAGAGAGAGGGAGAGACAAGGAGAGGUGAGGCGGGCUGGUUAAUCCGCAAAAGGUGCGAGUUUUCGAUGAAUUUUGGAAGUUGGAUCCAUUUCUAUUUCACCAUCUCCUCGAACAACGUCCCUAAACAACGGCCCUUUUUCCCUGACAAGCGAUGAGAGGAGGAAAAAAAAAAGGACUUUUAAGGCAACGGAUAUGAGCUUUUAGGGAUAAGAAAAAAUUAUACUUUGACAUUAAUUUAUAUAGAAAUAAAUAGAUAUAAUUCUUAAUUUUUAUUGGGAAAAACUUGUAUUGUUGCAGUUAUUCUUUGUGUGUUUGAAUACUGCAAGAUAAAAAAUGUUGUUUGGAUGUUCCUUAGUAUGUACCAAGUGGAUGAAAAAUGUGAUUUUUAUGAAAGUUUAACUUUCAAAUCUCUAUCAUUAUAUAAUAUCAUAUUAUAUAAUAUAAUAAUGUAUUAAAAUAUUAUAUUAUAUAUUAUAUAUAGAAUAUUUAUUAUGAUUUUAUAUUAUACAUUAUAAUAUAGUAGUACAGCACAAUAUUCUGAUAUAUUGUAUAUUUAAUAUUAUAGCAUAUAUAUUAUCAUAUGUUUAUGUUAUAAUAAUUAUAUUAUCCUAUAAUAAUAUUAUAAUAUAUCAUAUGAUAUUAUAAUACUUUAUUAUAUAAUACUAUAGUAUUAUAUUAUUUUUAUAUUAUUGUAUAUAAUAUAUUAUUAAAAGUAAAGAUGUAUUCUUUUUAGAUUGUUAGAUAGAAUAUUCUUAGUUCCUUAGUUCACAAAUAUCUAUAAAAAUAAUAAAAUGAACAAGCUAGUAUUUAAUUAUUUUUGCGGUUUUAUGGGCAUGCUCUCUUUCUUUUCUAAUCAAAUUAGAUCCAUUUAAAAAAAAUAACUAAAAAUCUUAAAUAAAUUCAAAUUUUCUAACUAAAAUAAUAAAAAAUAAUAAAUAAUUAAAAUUCUAAAUAAAUUAGACUCUAUGGUCUCUCUUCGCUCCCCUUUCCCUGCUACGAAUUUCAGUAGUUGGAACUUUCAGUUAUCUUGGUAGAAAUAUAAUAUUUGUAUUCUCAUCUCAACAAAUUAUUUUUUGGAAUCAUGAUGUCUUUCUACAGAUCGCAAGUCUAUUCAUUAGCUCCUAUUUAUGGUGCAUAUGAAAUGUAGCCAGUGGUUGUGACCGAUCCUGCCCCAACCCCUCUCCUCUUUCUCUCCUCCUCUCUCCUUCACAUCCUUCCCCAACUCUCUAUAUCUCUUUCCUCCCCCCCUAAUUACUCCUUUUUCCAUCCAACCCCCUACCCCAUGGCCCUCUAUAUCCUCAUCCUUCCUUCCCUACGUGCCCCUCCCUCCCUCUCUCUCCCCCGACACCCUUAGCCUCUCUCGCUCUCCUAUCUUCCAAGGCCCAAUGCCAGCUUCGAUCAACUUGAGACGAUCUAUUUUAAGGGUGUAAUACUCAUUUGCCAAGAAGAGUGCUGUUAAACAAAAAAUUGGGAGCAGGCAGUUUCCAUAUGUUGGAACAACUCUCAAUUAUGGUUCUUCCAAUUCUGCCAUAUAAUACAACAAAUUUUCAAUGGAUUUAAGAUUGAAAGUAUUAACAACAUUAACCUAAUCCAAGAUAUUCAAGUGUAGGCUAUAGCUUCCAAAUAAGAUUUUCAUACUAACCAAGCUUUUUUGUCGGAAAAUAAAUAAUGGUUCCAGUCUUCAUUAGGUGCAAAACAUUGUGGACAAAAAGGUUGAUUAAUGCCCCUAUUAUAAAGAGUAGUAGAACAAGGCACUUCUAUCAAGAGCAACUCUCCAGAGAAAUGACUGAUUUAACCCUUCAAUGCAUNNNNNNNNNNNNNNNNNNNNNNNNNNNNNNNNNNNNNNNNNNNNNNNNNNNNNNNNNNNNNNNNNNNNNNNNNNNNNNNNNNNNNNNNNNNNNNNNNNNNNNNNNNNNNNNNNNNNNNNNNNNNNNNNNNNNNNNNNNNNNNNNNNNNNNNNNNNNNNNNNNNNNNNNNNNNNNNNNNNNNNNNNNNNNNNNNNNNNNNNNNNNNNNNNNNNNNNNNNNNNNNNNNNNNNNNNNNNNNNNNNNNNNNNNNNNNNNNNNNNNNNNNNNNNNNNNNNNNNNNNNNNNNNNNNNNNNNNNNNNNNNNNNNNNNNNNNNNNNNNNNNNNNNNNNNNNNNNNNNNNNNNNNNNCUUAAUGUGGGCUAUGUUGUUGCGCGAGGCUCCGGCCAAAACGCCGUCCCCGCAACAGAUUGGCGCGCCAGGUAAGGGCGCCUCCUCCCUCCAUUGACUACCCUUCAGGACUGUGGAGGCCCCCGGCGUUAAAAACCGGCAAGGAACCUUCCCGCUGGGGGGCUAUGUUGUGGGGAGGGGAGGGGGCCUUGAAUUUAGUCCCACAUCGACUAGUAACGGAAAGGUUCCAUGCCUUAAAUGGGGGGUGGAAAUCCUUUCCUCUCGAGGCGCCUUUUGACGGGCAAACCCGUGAGGGCACCAGUCUCCCCCCAUCAACGUGGUCCUCUUUCUCUGCUAGCUUAAUGUGGGCUAUGUUGUUGCGCGAGGCUCUGGCCAAAGCGCCGUCCCCGCAACAAGUUCUUUUUUUUUCUGAUAAAUUGGAGGAGGAAAUCAUGCUUCCCCCAUUUAUGAAUCAUAACAAGCGAACAUCGUCCUGAUCACGUAUGAAUCAGUGAUGGCUACUCUUAAAGACGAGUUCCAAAGCAAUCACCAACAAUUUCAGUAAUUUUUGGUAAAAACGGUCGAUAACAACUAUCUAUCGUUGCUCAUCCAACGUUCUGAAACAAUUAUUUUACCAAUCAAGUAGCAUAAAUAUUUGCAACAAGUUCAAUAACUGAUCAUUAAUGCCAAACUGAAAAUCUCAAAUUCAUGUAAAUGUUUCACUCAGGUUGGGAGCACAAUGAUAGCUAGAUCUUGGUGCAGGUUUCACCUGUACAGGAUACUUCUGCAACACGAGGUGAUUUUGCAGACGCUAAUAGGAGCUUGAAAACUAUAGAAAUUGUUAUUCACUCGAACUAUAGAAAAUUCUACGACUUGGACUGUAGAGAAAAAAGAGUGGGAAGUGACAUCUUGUCAACCUCUCCCUCAAAAAGUUCAAAAAAAAAAAAAUCUUGUCAUCAGCUUCUCUGGCCACACGCUAGAUCUUACAGCAUGAGUUUCCGGAUUUAUUGCAUGUAAAUUGUAGCAUUGGCAAUCUUGGGAAUUUGCAGUGCACAUGUUCUUUGCUUGGAAGCCCAGCUCUUCGUCAACACGGCGAGCAUUUUUUGAGGCUGAGAUCUGAACCGAAGACCCCAACAACACAAGAAAGGCUAUGUGGAGACGCUUCCUUCACCUUGCCAUUUUUUUCUACGGUUUGUCCUCCGUCGUCUUUGAAAGAGCCCCUCGGGUCGUUGAAUCAGUCUCCCAUGCCUCGCUUUCACACGGCAUCCUUUUCCUAAAGCAAAUGUGGUGGAAUAGAGGCCGCAAGCGAAUGAAGUACGAGUCUUUGCCAUUAAAAACGCAGGAAAGAUUAUUCCCAUAGUCAAAAGUGAAGCACUAUGGCUCUAUAAUAAUUAUUUUUUUCUUUCCCUUCAAACCCAGCACGGUUUCCAAUUUCUAGCCUAGAUUAGUUCCAAGAUUCUUCUAUAUGUGGCCAGUGGGCUGCAACUGUUCGUCUGAUUUGAUCUUAGUCUAUCACUUGGCCUGAGACACUGGGAGGAAAAGACUGAAAUUGUCCCCAAAUAAAUAAACUAUGUAUUAGUUUGCUAUCUACCCAAAUAAAAAGUAGGAAUUAAUGCGGACAUAUAUGUUUCAAUACAGACACAUGCAAGAACGCUUGAUCUAGUCCUCCAUUUUCUUUCUUGUAUUGAUCAGUGGCAGGGGAAAAAACAUGCAAGAAUAUUAUUAAUGUUGUUAGGAUUAUUAUUAAAUAAACUUAUGGCCCCUUCUCUUGUUGGAGUGGGGUGGUGGUGCUUCCACAAAUAUUAAUGUUGUUAGGAAGAUCUCUUAGCCACGUUCAAAUGGUCCUUCGCAUGUAAGGCAAAAGAGAUAAAAAGAUUAACAUGUCAACACGCGAUUGGAGCUUGCUGUUGAAUCCUUCCCUUAUACCAUACGUUUGAAGAUCCUGCGAAUCUAAAUCUAACAACCAGGAGCACGGAAGAAAAAAAAAAGAAAGCAACCGAAGUCUAGUCGCAUGAACCAUCCUUUUUAAUUCACCCUUCUGCCCUCACCCGCCCCCACCAACAUCCCAACUGUUCUCUCCACAAACACCUACAAAAGCCCAGAGUCACUCUCCCACCCCCAAGUCAAUCUCCAUUUGUAAUUCACUUUAGAGAGGAAAGCUAGCCACGCCAAAUGGCCAAACUCCUCCUCCUCCUCCUCCUCCUGACCACCACCACCACCACCACCUUGUUGGCCGAACAACCGUAUAGCUUCAUCCAAAGCCAAAAAACAGCCCCAAAACCCCGCCACGAGAAGCUCACCCACCUGCACUUCUUCUGGCAUGACGUAUUAAACGGUCCCAAUCCGACCGCCGUGCCGGUGGCGCAGGCUGCAACAACGAGCACAUCAAGCAGCUCCUUCGGCCUGGUGAACGUGAUCGACGACCCGCUGACGGAAGGCCCAGAGAUGGCAUCCAAGCUCGUCGGCCGGGCGCAGGGACUCUACGCGUCGGCCGCGCAGGAGGGUUUAGGCCUGCUGAUGGCCAUGAACUUCGCUUUCAUGGAUGGCAAGUACAACGGCAGCACGAUCACCAUUCUCGGCCGCAACGAGGUGUUCACGGCGGUGAGGGAGAUGCCGGUGAUCGGCGGCAGCGGGCUCUUCCGCCUGGCCCGCGGCUACGUCCAGGCCAAGACCCACAAUUUGGACAUGAAGUCCGGGAAUGCGGUGGUUGAGUACAAUUGCUUUGUCUUCCAUUAUUGAGCUUAUCUGAUGUGCAUCCACUUUUCCUUCUUUCUUCCAGUAUUCUGGGUCCGCUUGUGUCGGGCGGUAGCCCCACACCUUUUUAUUAGCACGCUAUUGUCCUUAGGCGGCUAGCCUAAGAUUAUUCCUCUUUCGAAUAAGAAAAGUACGUAUUGUGAAUUGCCGGUUGGUUGAUAAAUCUUAAAAUUAACCUGUUGCUGAUGUAAAUUAUUAGGUGGUUGAGGCAGAAAUCGCCUAUUUAAUCUAGAACGUUCUAGUGUUCUCAUCCUCACGUGCCAGCGCAUCUUAUUCCGGGUCUCUCAUUUGUGCGAGCCUAAAAUACGACACCAACCACCAAUCUUGUUCGUCCUCCGCUCCACUUUCAGAACCAGUGAUGAUUAAAUUAUAGAAACGUAGCCAGGAUCUAGGAAAAGAGAGCUUACCUAAUGGUCAUCUUGGUACACCAUCUGCAACUGCAUCGAGAGUUCGAGAAUGUAACUUGUAAGCCAACCUCCUCACCCAAAUCAUUUGAUUUUUCACGGGAACGUUGACUUAGAAGCUGGUCUGUUCGCUCUGAAAAAGUGAUAUAUCUGAAUUGAUAAUUAUUUGGCUGGAGUUUGAUGCCUGAAAUUGUCGGGAUCAUUUCAUCGUACCUCCAACUUGCCUGGGAGAGAAAUCAGACUAAUAAGAUAUCCAGCCAGGGCCAGAAGAACAUUGCUACCGUUGAAACACGCCGGAAUAUUAAUGGCCCAGAUGAUCUCGUUCAGACCUGUCGUUGACCUUUCUAUGUUGUUCCCACCGACAACCACGACGGCUGGAAGCCUGGCAGAGCAUCAGAGUGGGGAAAUCUCUUGCACAAAAUAACGAUGAAGCUAUCGCUAACGUCCACAAGCACCUUGAGGGAAUUCAAAAUCACAGAAUUCACAUAACAGAAGCGAACUGAAAAUGGUGCCGCAAAAGUACCGGCGAUAAGGCUUUCAAAACCAGCAAUCAGUUUACUGUUUACUGGUGCGGAGUUGGAGAUGAAAACCGGGAUCACUCAAAUAAAGAAUGCCGUUUAAUUACAUAUGCACGCUGCCAGAAGAGAGCCCAUACAGGCAAUACUUCAUCGCCAGUACAAAUUGCUAAUAACUCAAUAGGAUUUACGAUCCCUAAAAGCAUAUUUCCAUCUGAAUUGGAGGACUGUGGAGUAAUGUCUGGAGGAACAAAUAUAUCUGCUUGCAAAUAUACAAAGCCAACAAAUGCUCCUAUAGAUAAGGUGGAUUAUAAGACAGCAGAAAACAAGAAUGAAGGGCCCAAGACAGAACCUGUCCAUCAACGAGACCCACACAACCUUGAACCACGCCAACAAAUCCUUCAGACUAUGGUAAAACAACAAAACAUGCACUACAACGUAAAAGACUGACUGCACCAGUAAAGCUCUACAACCAAGGUCCUAUUCAAAAUCUUCAGUGUCCGCUCAUCAUUGGAGAUAAAAGACAUGAUCAUCAAAAAUGUAGGUAGGUGGAAUAGUACAACCAUGUAACUAACAAAAAUCAGUUCACACUGUCAAUUAUUCAAAAGCAAACAUGAUGCAGUUUGGAGCAUAAUAAGAACUUUAAGAGGUUUCACAUUAGAGGACACUGCAACAUAACUCUGAACAACUCUUUUAUGACCCGGAUGACUUCAACAUGGGCAUUUCAACCUCAGUACCUGUGGGCUAGCUUCUCCUUCUCCAGAUAAUACUGAACAUAACUGCAUGUGCAGAUAACUUUUUAGACAAGGAUUUUAGUGCACCAAUAAAAAAGCUGUCAUUAAUCAGCUCAAGACUUCAUUACAGUGGAAAAAACACCUUUCUGGAACAGAAUGAAUAAAUUCUUAUUUCAAGAAAGGAAAAAUGAAGACUGAAAUUGAAUACAGGCAACCUGACACUAAUAUCGAGCUAGUAUAUGUUAAUAAUAACAUUUUAAAAUAAACAAGAAUUAUCAAGUUCAGCUUUCUUUCUUCAUAUGAUCUGCAAAAACCAUAUAUAUAAGCUACUGAAAGAAAGAAAUAUUGCAGCAAAUAUGGGAAGACAAAGCAUGACAUCUGCAGAACACCCAUGUUUCCAGUCUUAGCUCUUGCAUCAGGUUACACUGCCCUUGGGGCGGUUGUGAUUAAAAGCGACUUUACAUGGAGCGUUAAUAGUUUCUAUAACUAUCUCACUUCCUCCAAUAUCCAUAUCGCAUAGACACAGUCGUUUUUAUCUGCUGGACACGAUUUUUUGUGGAAGAAACUUGCCCUUGGUGUAGUCUACUCCAGCUUGAUUCUCUCCUUACUGUUUCUCAGAAAGGGGUGGAACUCAAAGCCAGGGCAUUAUUCAGAAUUUAACACAAAAAGGAGGAGGUUGAAAUAUAUAUAUCCAUGGGACCACAGCCUAAACUUUCAACCCUCAACCUCAUAUCCAUGAAGUUACAGUUACCUCCAAAAAACCACCCUAGUAUAAAAAGAUGGUGCUAGAUAUGAUUUCAACAGGCACAUGAUGAAACUCUCCAGGCUAAUGCAUGCACUCCCAAUAGAAGUCACAUCACCCUACUCAAAAAGCAAUUCUCCACAUAAAGCACCCAUUCAAUGUUUACACAAUCAAAAAGCAAUCACGAGUAAAAUGCUCAGUUGAACAUUUUUUUUGCAGGCAGUUACAACUGAUCACGAGUAAAAUCCUCAGUUGGUUUUUUGCACGAGUAAAUUCUCCACAUAAAGCACCCUCUGAUCACCAUCUUCUCUCAUCCUACCAAAAACCAAGCAAAGAAGUUCUUUCACAUGCAAUCUUAAGACAUAUCAGCAAUUCCAUUUUACAACUUCUAAAGACCAUCACCACUUAACAUCAGCAUCGCCGCCGUCGUCGUCGUCGUCGUCAUCAUCAUCAACAAAAAAAAUCCUCCACAAUACUGUCCAUCAGUUUGAUUGUUGUUCAAAUCAUAUGAUACACAAUCCAAAUCUUGCAAUCCAGAUUAAAAUGGCCCUAAAACAAUCUGGAUCUUCUCCUUGAUUGGAAUCAGCUAGGAUGACAGGUCCAGAACCAUAGCAUGGACAAUAGGGCCCUUUCAAUCAUAAGAUCCAACUUGAUCCUGCUAUUUACAUGUUAAAUCAUGCAGACUUUCAUUUUUAUAAUUUAUUUGACUAUAUGGAUUUCAAAAUUACGUAUCAUCCGUAAGUCUUAGCUCUUGAGUAGUAAAAUCAAAAGGCCUAUUGUUCAAGAUCAUAGAGUUGAAAAUAAAAUGCAAAUUUUCAUAUUUUUGCAACCAUAUUUUAAAAUUUUUGUCCUUUUUCCUAAAACACUUGAGCUAAUAGGAUAAUUAAAUUAAUAGGUAAUGUACAAAUACCAAACACAAUAUUUAUUUCAUUACAAAAGCUAAGAAUGAAUUUAUGAUGGUGGAAACUACACUUCUUAUAUGUAUGGCUUUUCAUUCCCCAUUCAUCUACUCUGUAUUUGACUCAUAUUGUCACAUCUCUUUUAUAUUUAGUUUUAAAAUAUAAAAAACAAACUCAUCAUAUGCAAUCCAACCCAUGAGUCGAUCCAAUCUAACCCACUUUAUGAUUUAUGACUCGUUAUGACCUCACAGUUGUCAAGAGGCCAAGGCACCAUUAGGACAAUGGAACACCCAUGUCACCCAAGGCACUAGACACCAAAUACAUCUCACCUUGAGAAAGUUCAAGAAAAUGCAUUAGAAAUAAAUAUAAUUUGUAUAAAAAAAACGUUAUCAAAAGCAAUACAAACAUCAUCAGAUUAACUAUUCAAGUCCCAACAUCCUCUUCACGAUCACUUUAAACAUCAAAUGUCAUGUUCGACAUCUUUCAAGAUAUGGUAUCAAAGUACCACUUCUGAUAAUAUGUUUUUAAACAAAAGUGAGCAAAAAUAAACUACUCGACAUCCUGAAGUAGCUUCAGGAUUCAAACAUGACAGCAAAAUACCACUUCCAAAAACAUGGUUGAUGUUUCUAGACCACACAUAACACAAAAAAGUAAAUCAGUAAACAUCUGCGAAUAGCCCUUUAUUUAUAAGGACUCUAAUAGACCAAAAUAACCCAGAAAAUAAAGCUAACAAAACUCUAAAAAAUAAGCAAAGGAGGGAUAGGAAGAAUAAUGAUCGACAUUGGAGAGGAGUAGCCUCAAAGCCUCUCAUUUUGUCUUGAACAUUGGCUUAUAUGUAGCCUCAGCAAACUUACCAUGCUUCUGACCAUGAAGGCACUCUAGGGUUUCCUCACAUCACUUAAGUGCUUAGGUGAGUGCCUGAAGCAUUUUCCAUCACCACCUUCUGAAACGUCUUACUAAACACAUUAGGUACAAAAAUAGCAAGAAAGAAAUAACUUGGGUCGUCUUGCUCCCAACCUUACUUGCUACCGAAGCAUCUACUAAAGAAUAUAUAAAUGAAAAAAAAAUAAUAUAAAUGAAAAGAAAAUAAUACAAAUAUGCACCAUGUAUCCAGCAAAAUUUGUACUUUCAAUACCUAUCAUCACCAUUAAUUUAUUUUUUUUCCAUAUAAAACUUAUAAAAAGAAUCCACGUGUAUGACAAACAAAGGUGCCCACAACCUACUAAAAAUAUUCAUAGUAUCAUAUAACAGCUGCAGUAUACAAGUGAUCAAAGGACUGCAUAGUGCAUAUAUGAUAUGCUAGUAACAUAUGCAGGUACAUCUACAGUUACCAUUUGUUAAAUAUUUAAAAAUAAAUAUAAUAUAUUAAGUACAAUAAAAAAUAAUAAUGAAAGUAAUUUUUUAUGGAUGGAUAAUAGCAAUACUAGUAACAACUAACAACUUAGUGCUUAUCACUUAGUAUCGAACAUCAAUAGCAAUAACUAUAACAUAAUCAACAUUUUAGCACGAUCAAUACCCGUACAAGGCUUACCAUAAACUGAUAUCAAAGCUAUCAUCAGCAAGUACCCGCUUCACCUACAUGGGCCCAUAUAAGAGUGGACAAUAUAUGUAGCUCCAGAAUGCUAAGUGAGCUCACAUAUGUCUAAUACGAUAUUAAACAGCCAACAUAUGCUAAAUUGUCUAUCUUUUUGGUCCAUAUGCCAUAUAACUGCAUAGUGUACCAUAUAAAGGCAACGCGGUGCAGUCAAGGGACCGGAUAAGCAUAUGGGGCAUUUUAAAACACUGAAAUUUAUAUCCUAUAAAACAUGGUCUUUAUGAUGAGGCUACAAAAGAUAUUGUUAAACAAUAAAUCCACAUUAGGAAUCAUAGAUAUUUUAAAUCACAUAUCAUAUCUGCAUCAAAAAUGUAUCAAAUAACAAUGCACAUCGGAUACUUCUCAAAUACAUGUUGGAUACUCAUGUUAAGUCCAAUUUUUCAAAUAUAGAAAAAGACUAUGAAUACUUGUCAGAUUCGCUCAAUAUAUUUCUCUUCCUCUUACAAGAUAGCAUAUCUUCCUUAAUGGAAAUGGUGGCCAACUAUUAAUUUUGUCUAAUGUGAACUAUAAGUUUUAGAUGUCUAUUCGUUGGUCUCUAACUCAUUAAAAAUUUUAAGUGAUAUUUGAAUUCGAGACACAAAUAUCCCAACUCCAACCCCCGACAAGAAGAUAAAAAAGCAUGAAUACAUCUUGACACAAACUCUUGACCACUGAGUCACAAAGCACACACUACAACUAAUACUCAAGGAUUAUUAUUAGCAUCUCGACAAUCAAGGUGAUUCAGAAUUAGCCUUUCAACCUAUCUGCAUAAAAUGCUUUUAUAUCACCCCACCUUAUCCACUCAAGUAUUCUACUAGAACAAGAAUUUUAGAAAAAUAAAAAUAAUGUCAAACAUAUCAUGAUGCAAAAGGAAGCACUAUAUUUUAGACAUCUCUUUUCAUUUUCCAUUUAUAUUCCUAUUAUCAAUCAUAUUUUAACUAUACCUUUCCAACUGCUGCCUCGACAUAAUGCCAAAAGCUUUUGCUAUCAGAUAGACAAAAGUUGAACAAAGAUCUCAUCAAUCAUGGUUUCUUGGCUUUGUGACGGUAUCUAAACAUUUAGUUUUAUCCAAAAAAACAGUUUAUGAUAUAAUUCGUGCAACCUUGUCCAUGUCUGAGAUUUUUGCAGCUUCAUUAGGUAGAAAUGUUUUUUCCCCCAAAAUCUCAACAAGAAUGUCAACCUAUAUAUUCAGCAAUGAAACAGGACCAACAACCAUAUCUCAUAUCUGAACGCGAGAGGAUAAUGUACACAUUGUUCGACCCAGCUUCAUUAUCAGAAAUGAUCUUUCCAUCCUUCAGGAGAGUUCCAAACAUCGGCAACUUUCAAGAAUAGAAAGCAAAUUCUCUAAUCCUUAAUCAACCCAAUUUUAAGCCCCGGCAACCAUUUAUUUCUCAUUCUCUAAGUAUUCCAGAGCACUAACACACAAAUAUAACAUCACGCGCCUUUCAAAACAUAUCGAAAGCCCCCAUGGCAGGAGAUUCUGUUUUUUUUUCGCGGAUCAACGGAUCAACAUUGAGGUGAUCUGGAAAGAAAAUUCUUAUACAGCUCAAAACCAAGAAACAACACGAUCGAGAACAACGUCAAAACAUCCCAAAUAUCGAUCAAUCCGUUCUUUAAAAACAAAAAUUCCCAAAACAGGCACAGAUACACAGAAAUCUGAAGCGCUCGAAUCUAUAAAAUACGUAGAUGAAAACAAAACAGAAAAGCAAAUACGAAACCGAUCGAUUUUGUGGUUAAACAAAAAGAGAUCUCUGUCGACGCCACCAAAAACUAGUCUCGAGAAAUCAGUCAUCGGAUAAAGAAACAAAUCAGCGAUUAAUGACAAAAAAAAAAGAAGAAGAGGGAGAAAGAGAGGGCAUACGUGUAGGUGCCGACGACGGGAGAGAGUAAGAGGGUGGCGCUGAGCCAGUUCUCGGAAACCUUUUGGUGGAUCUUUCCGGGGAGAUCCUUCCACAGCCCCGACAUCACCUUCUGCUGGAACGGCGACAGCGCGUACACCACCGCCUUCAUCCGCACAGGCGUCUUCCCCAUCCCUUUCUCUCUCUUUCUCUCCCUCUCUUUCCUCGAUCCAAAGACCUCUCUUGCUUGCCGAGAGUCCGAGCCCUAUCGCCGCCCCCCUAUACUUCCGGGAGGACUUCUCUGGAACCAGCGUUUGGCACGUGCUGUGCACGUGACCAUUAGAUGAUCGUCAAUUGCUGACUUGUAAAUCUCAAGUUUCAUCAAAGAAAAAAAAAAUCUUUUGGAAGUUCUUAGGGGAUGGCUGUAAUCAAAUGGUUUCAAUGGAUUACUGUAAUUUGAUGAUUUGUUAUGCACAUGAUACUUGGAUUCUAUCUAAAUUUUAAGGUAAUAGCAAAAUUAAAUGCAACGCGAUUGGGUCAGAUUCUAGUGAGGUCAAAUUCGGACAGCUAUAUGAAAACUCUCAACCUAUAUCUAAACCAAUCAAUCCCGCCCAACUCAUUGAAACCACAUAUCAAUAGUUAUGACUAGAUGUGAUUUAUUUGAUCUCUAGCCUAAUCUAUAUUGCAGUGUCGAUUGUUUAUUUAUCAAAUCUAAUUUGUCUGGUUUUGAUUUAAAUUUUUGCAAUUACUGGCUGUCCAUUAACAAAAUAAAUUAAAUAGUAUUGGAGGAAGUUUAAUUACUGAAAAAUAAGAAAAUCUUGACCAAGACUCCAACUAAUCUAAAAUAUUAUAAUUCAAAAAAGUAAUCUUUUCACACGAGUUGAGCGAUAUCGAAACUUUAUUAAUCCAUAUUAGACAAUUAAAAUUUAAGUUAAGAAAAAAUUUAUCCGCACCUCGGACCACUAAAGAAUCUUGAACUCGAACACAAUCCUAGUUCUUGAAUCUGACCAAUUUUUGUUGCCCCAAAUUUCUAGCAUUUAUUGUGUUGAGGCAAGAAAACAUCGCAAGGCAUUCUCCAAAAAAAAACAAGUUGUAAUUUUGGCGGGAAAGAAAAUUUCAUGCAAAUCCACCGUUGGAUCAUCCAAAGGUUGCUUUGAGAUCCAUACAGGCAGAUGAAUGAUAGAUUUGGAUAGCUCUGUGUCAUCCAAUGGGGGAUUUGCAUGAAGGAUGAGAAACCUUCUUUCACACUAUAGAUAAAUUCAUUAUUUUUUUUCCAAUAAGGUGGACAGGACAUACAAUUUUGGUGCAAAUAUGUCUAACAAAAUUAGAGAAUAAAAUAUCUUAAAGUGCAGUCAGAAUAACUGACAUUGUACCCUAUAAGGUGCUCCGCUACAAAAGAGGUGAUCCAGCACAAAUAUAUACACUUCCUCAAAACUCCUUGGAACGUUAAAACCUCACCCGCAACAAGUUGAAGUACACGAUGUCCAAAGCCACAUGUUCGGCCUUCCACCUAAGCUGGCUCUCGCUUCAAAAGGAAUAGCUCCCAAGACCAUGAGAAACCUCCAGGAUGUAAGUAGUCAAGUCAUAUACUCGGUGAGGUUGGUGGAACUAUAGAACACUACAACAAUUAUGAGUUUUGCCGAUUUUAUUUUUUCAACACUAACGGAAAGCAACGAAAAAGUUUGGCUCAACGCCAAUCUUUACCGAUACUUUUACCUGGCAUCGGUAAAUCUCCAAAAACGACGACGCUCUAAAACGUCGUUAAAACAUUAAGAAACGACAACGCUUAACAGCAUCGUUAGAAAACAUUAAACCCCCCAACCGCUCGCCCGGCCCCCUCUCCUCAUUUUCUAUCGGUCGAUGCCCUAGCUUCCCCGCUGCCGGCUUCUCAGUUCUCACCUUCAUCACGAGCCCUAGCUUCCCCGCUGCCAUCGACCUCGCUCCGUCUGAGGUAAGCCUCCUCCUCCUUUUUGUUUUGUUCUUGUUUUUAACGCUCGCUUGGCCUCCUCUCCUCAUACUCUCUCAGUCGAUACCCUAGCUGCGCGCCGACAUCAAACUGAUCUCACCUCCAUCCCUAGCCCCGUUCGGCGAUCGAAGAUCUCACUUCUCCGCCGCCGUCGACCUCGUCGUCGUCUGAGGUAAGCCUCCUCCUCCUCCUCCUUGUUUUCUUCUUAUUUUUAACGCUCGCCCGGCCCCCUCUUUGUUUUUGGCAACGAAACCCUAGCUGCGCGCCGACAUCUCACCUCCAUCCCGAGCCCUAGCUACUUCGCCGCCGUCGACCUCGCCGUCAACUGAGGUAAGUAUUUUAUGCUUACUUUUCUUGUUUACAUGCAAAUAUUUGAUUUGUCAAUAUAGUAUUCAUUAGGAACUUUGUAGCCAUGAUGUUCUGCAUUGGUGCUGUAUUCAAGUUGUAUUAAUCCUUCGAAGGUUGGAUUAUUUCUAAGAAAACGCGUACUUGUAGUGGGUGCCAUCGUUACCGUCCAUCAAGGUUGAUCCUGUCUAUUGAUGAUGUCUGAUUGAACAACGGUAGAUAAAUAAUCAUCCCACCUAGUUAUGUCUAAAACUGAUCACGAAGAUCCAAACUCUUUCCAGCAACCUUGAAGAGACCCUUUCUAUCUCUUUCUACAGCAGCACUCUAUUUACACAAAAACGUUAAAGUCACUUAUUAUUCUUACUUUCAGUUCCAUAUCAUUUUAGAAGGUUUCAUUAUUGAGCACGAAGUCAUUCUCUUUUUUUUUUGUGUGUGUAUGUGUCUACGUGUGCAUGUACUUAGGAAGAUUAGUUCUUAAAAAAUGACAUUGCAAGUCUUAAUAAGAAUUAAACAAAAGGACCUGAGUUUUGAUGGCAUUUAGUUGUGGUCUCUCAUCAAGUCAUCCGGUCUAGAUGUAGAAAAUGACUCGAAAAUGGGAAGUAGUCGUGCAUGCAACUAAGUACAAAAUUUUAAAGAGACCAUACUGGCAGUACCAUUUGUAUGUACUUAACGGUUAUAUUUAUUUUGUGAACAACUAGCUUGUGAAGAGCGCCAUGGGGUGUGAAAUAUGAAGAUAGGAUUAAUUUGGAUCCUUUCCAAUUAAGUAAAUUAUUUCUGCAGCAGAUGCAUGCCCUUUGUAAUUCUCUUACUCUACACUAUACCUAGAAAGAGCUAAAAACAAAGAGUAUAUAUUACAACAAAUUAAAGUGCAAUCUUUACUAUGAACUGCCAAUUCAAAUGGAGAGUAUCCAUUGACAACUAGCGGAUAGCCUACAAAUUGAUAUUAUGAUAGCGGAAGUAGCUUUAGCACCCAUUAAGUAGCUUUAGUAGAACUCAGCAAUGAGGUUGGAGGAAAAAAAAAAAGAGAGCAAGCGAGGAAGAAGAAGAUCUGGAGAAGGAAGAGAGACUGAGAAAGAUGCAAAGCAAUUACGGAACCUAGUCCCCACAGGAUGUUGAAGGAAAAAAAAAACUCGAGGUCUUUUGUUCAUCGUGCAGGAAUUAGGUCUUGCCUUCACAUCUCACAUUCUCCUCUUCCCUUCCAUCUCUCUAGCUUAUCUUGUCACCCUAAAAGGGAAGACCAUAUUUGGUACCUUUGGUUCCUUCACAUUAACAUAGCUUUGUAGAUAUUCAGUACCUACACAUGACUACACAAUUCCAAUCAUGGUUCAAUUGGAUAAAAAUUAAUUUUGAAUUACAUAGUGGUCUUUGUCUACUUUUGCUCCAUUGUGAAGAGCACUAGCAAAAUUGAUCAAGAUCGCGGAGUUCAAGAAAAGAACUUUCAGGGUCACCUACUAAUUGAUUUCGGGCUGAUCCCCCUCAAAUCCGUUGGAUUUUACUAAAAAAAUAUAAAUAGUAGCUAAAAAAACUCCAGUGGAAGAAAACAAGAAAAAUAAAAAGGCCAGGUCCGCCGAGGUACAGAUAUAAUAAAUCUUACCCUCUCUACAAUAAAAUUAUUUUCGUAUUUCAAACUCAUGAUAUCCCAAGUCAAAUAUAGCAGUCUUACUAUUGCACCAAAAAUCCCCCUCAAAAUACAAAAAAUAAGAAAUAUAAAUAAAAAUAGUGAAAAAAUAAAUAAUUAAAAAUAGAGAAAGUAGAGAAGAAAAGAGAAAGAAAGCGAUCUGUUAAUACUAUUAUUAUUUGGGUGUUUUAUAUUUUUUUAAAAAAAUAAUCAAACCUAUGUUUACUCCUUCCAUCCCUAGUAGAACUUUCAGAAAAAAUCUUCAUAAAAAAAAGAAAAGAAAAACUACAUAUAUAAACUUGUAAAUAUAGUUUAUUGCAUAUUUAUUCCCAAGGAAUCACUAUAUAUAUCUAUAUACACCUCUCCAACCAUCUUACUUUUUGUAAUAAUACUCUCCCAUCAGAUUUUUAGCUAACGAUUUUUGCAUUACUACCUUUAAAAAAUUUAACACACAAUUUGUAUCACAAAGAAUUAUAUUUUUGCAUAAAUUUUUUAAAGACAUACAUAAGUACCAAAAAUUUAAAGAGUUUUUUGCAUGAAUACCCUCCUAAAUAUUGAAUUUUGCAUGAAUACCCUUCCAAAAUUUAUAUUUGCAUGUAUACCCUCGUAAAACACUUGUUUUGCCAUUCUAUCCUUUUUUUAUUUUUAUUUUUGCAUAUGUAUCCAUGUUAUCUAACGACGUUAAGAAAUUAACGGUUUCAAAUUAAAAUGACUAAAAUAUCCUUAAUGGGUAGACAAGUAAUAGAUCACAAUCCCGCUAGCAGGAGAAGAAAACAGGGACAAUAGUAAUUUUAAAAUUUUAUUUUAUUUUUAAUUAAUAUAAAUAUGAUUUUUCUUAAUACCGUUAGAACAACCGUUAUAUUACGGGAAUUUGUAUAAUAACAGAGUUUUACGAAGGUAUACAUACAAAUAUCAAUUUUGGAAGGGUAUUUAUGCAAAAUCCGAUAUUUAGAAGGAUGUACAUGCAAAAAAUCCAAAUUUAAAAGCACCGACACUAACUUCUUUUAUUUAUUGAUUGACUGCUCCCCCUAUUAGACUAACAUAGCUAACUCUAAAAACCAAAGACAAAGUAGGUUGUUUGGUCAAUUAAUUGUACACUAAAACCAAAGACAAAGUAGGUUGUUUGGUCAAUUAAUUGUACCCUAAAACUAGUAUAAUUAGAACUUCAAAAUAGGAACUGGUUGAGCAUUGUUGGAUGUACAAUUACAGACCAAAUUGACUUGUAAAGUCUUUAUGAUUGCAUUUUCUUUGACCAAAAAAGAUUGGCCAUUAAGAUCCUUUGCUGCUCUAUUUUGCAUGAAAAUUCUCACAUGUGAGCCAAGACCAUCAUGCUUAAAUUAGAGGCAUGGAAAACCCCAUUUGACCGAGAACAAACCAGAUUUAACCCAAAAAAAAGAAAAAUAAAUAGUAUAUAAUCCUAGCACAUUACUAACUUAAUAUAGAUAUCUGAUAUCUCAUAAAGUAAUGGUUAGACAAGCGACAUGCAAUUUAAAUUUUCUGAAAGAAAUUCACUUUAUUUUUUAGUUAUUAUUUUUGUGCAAAAAAAUGAUUAAGUCUCAUAUUAAAAUAUUAUAAAUUUAGAUUUGUCCCAGUAGCCAUACCUCUCUGCUUACUAAUCAGAAGUUCUAAAUUCCAACUUGGAUGGUAGUUGGUACGUAUCCCUGGUAUUGCAACCUAGAUAUAAUUUUGGCGGAUCUCUUUUCUUAUCUCUAAAAACGAUGAGGUGGAAACUGGAUUACUGGAACUGUUAGCUACUCUAACAAAAAAUGGGCCAUAUCAAUCUAACAGUCUUCACUAUCAAAAGCACAACGAUGUUCCAUUAGAAUAUAUAUGUGCAUGCAAGGACUAAUCAUCAAUUUUUAUGAAUAAUUAAAAACAUAAAUAUAUCAGAGAAGCCUCAUGGUACUCUUAAACGGGCCCAUAUAAUAAUGGAUAGUUAUAACUUAGUUCGGUGACUCAGUGAUACGUAUGCAAAAGCCACCUCAGUGAUACUUCAUGCCGCAUCACAAAUAGCCAGCAACAGCAGCAGCAGCUCUGUUACCGCUUAGAAUCAGUCUGAUUGCGGCGCCAAGCGCUGAGUCAGAACGACGCUGGGAGGACAGUGAAAGUUUGAACAGCAACAACACGAUGGUCUGUCAGAACUUCAGAGAAUUUAUUCGAAAUGUCUCCCUGGUAUAAACGAAGGUCCACGUCACGUGGGUACUCAGUCACUUUUUUUGUAGGCCAUCAUACGUUCCGAGGAUCACAUAUAGUCGUUUUGCAUGCAUAUCAGGCUCUGUAUAUCUUGUAGGUGUGGUUUGAAAAACCACUUAUGAUUGUGGCCGAGAUGUUGUAAGCUAUGAGAAGAUUUUGAAAUUCAAAGAGCUGUCUGUUGCUUCUUAGGCUUGCCAUGUGGCAGGCCUUGAUUGAUGGCUUGGUCAGUCCUCCAUAUCGACUAUAGCCGAUUCUAAGGCAUAUCACACUUCAUGAUGUAUCGCACUAGGACUGCAACAAUAUAUAUCUUCCAAGCUACAACUCGUCUGGAUGAAGUCGGAAUCACUAGUAAUCGUUGAUCAGCCAUAUGGCUAUAAAUUUGUUCUCGGAUCUUGUACCUACAACCAGUCGCACUAUGGGAGCAGGCCAUAUUCGAAGUCGUUAUCUUAACCGCAAGGAAGGGGAUGCCGAAGGUGGAGCUAGUGACUAACUGAAGUAAAAUCGUAAUAAGAUAGCCGUAUUGUGGCAAAUGAACAUGAGAUAAAUACCUUUGUAGUGUUGAUGUGUCCGAAGCCGGCAUUGACUCGUUCUCCAUAUGUCAUUGGACGCAAACCUUACCUUUGACUCUCACUU
rnacentral:lncRNA from 1 species